CUUCCGAACACUCACACUCCUAAUAGAUCAUUUGUCCUUUUCACGGGCCGCGGCAUUCUUGUUAUUUACCCAAAAGUCGGAUCGGAUGUCUAAUUGAGUUAAUCGGUUGCAAAGCGAUAGCCGUUCCGAGUGACCUUCACUUAUACA
ensembl:ncRNA C42D8.19 ncRNA